UACGGAGGGAGCUAGCGUUGUUCGGAAUUACUGGGCGUAAAGCGCGCGUAGGCGGCUUUGUAAGUUAGAGGUGAAAGCCCGGAGCUCAACUCCGGAACUGCCUUUAAAACUGCAUCGCUUGAAUCCAGGAGAGGUGAGUGGAAUUCCGAGUGUAGAGGUGAAAUUCGUAGAUAUUCGGAAGAACACCAGUGGCGAAGGCGGCUCACUGGACUGGUAUUGACGCUGAGGCGCGAAAGCGUGGGGAGCAAACAGG
rnacentral:rRNA from 1 species